AGCUUCUUGAUGAUGAUGAGCAUAUACUCAGUGUAAGGAUUGUUGGGGGAUCACCGACUUCGGUUUGGUAUGCUAAUUGAAUACCUUUUUGAAAAAUUUCCAAACUGGGAAGCCGCUAGUCCUCAUGCUAUUGGAGAUUUAGAGGCAUUUUAUAAGGCUUUAAAAACAAGGAUUUGAUAGUGAUCCUG